CUGGCGUCCUUCGGGCGUCCGAGUUGUAAUCUAUAGAAGUGUUUUCCGUGCCGGACCAUGUCCAAGUCCCUUGGAACAGGGUAUCAAAGAGGGUGACAAUCCCGUACUUGACAUGACCACCGGUGCUCUGUGAUACACUUUCUACGAGUCGAGUUGUUUGGGAAUGCAGCUCAAAAUGGGUGGUAAAUUCCAUCUAAAGCUAAAUAUUGGCGAGAGACCGAUAGCGAACAAGUACCGUGAGGGAAAGAUGAAAAGCACUUUGGAAAGAGAGUUAAACAGUACGUGAAAUUGUUGAAAGGGAAACGAUUGAAGUCAGUCGUGUUCUUUGGACUCAGCCGGUUCUUCCGGUCUAUUUCCUUUGAACGGGUCAACAUCAGUUUUGUCCGGUGGAUAAAGGCAGGAAGAAAGUGGCUCCCUCGGGAGUGUUAUAGCUUUCUGUCACAUACACUGGAGGAGACUGAGGACUGCAGCUCGCCUUUUGGCCGGGG
rnacentral:rRNA from 1 species